rnacentral:rRNA from 1 species
AUUGAACGCUGGCGGCAUGCCUUACACAUGCAAGUCGAACGGCAGCACGGGAGCAAUCCUGGUGGCGAGUGGCGAACGGGUGAGUAAUAUAUCGGAACGUGCCCAGUCGUGGGGGAUAACGUAGCGAAAGCUACGCUAAUACCGCAUACGAUCUACGGAUGAAAGCGGGGGAUCGCAAGACCUCGCGCGAUUGGAGCGGCCGAUAUCAGAUUAGCUAGUUGGUGGGGUAAAAGCUCACCAAGGCGACGAUCUGUAGCUGGUCUGAGAGGACGACCAGCCACACUGGAACUGAGACACGGUCCAGACUCCUACGGGAGGCAGCAGUGGGGAAUUUUGGACAAUGGGCGCAAGCCUGAUCCAGCAAUGCCGCGUGCAGGAUGAAGGCCUUCGGGUUGUAAACGUGCUUUUGUACGGAACGAAACGGUGAGCUCUAAUAAAGACUUGCUAAUGUACGGUACCGUAAGAAUAAGACACCGGCUAACUACGUGC